UUUGCUCACACACAGCUAAUAACCAGUGGCAGCAUGCAGUCAAUGAUAUAAGUGUGCAGUUCUGAUUUGAUGCUAAUGUGAUAAUUUCUGUUCAUCAAACACCAGCCUACUCCCUCUCUUAAGCAAGCAGAGCUGAAUAUUGUUGGACAGUACGAGGAACCCCAACACAAGCUAUGGUCCGUUCCCUUCCUUUUACCAUUAUUCGCUUCCAUGCCUUUCUUUUAUAUAAAGGAUCUUCUGUCAGUUCUUCCAGUAUUGAGGCCUUUUGAGGAAUACCAUUAAACUCUGAAGUAAACAACUCAACUUUGAAGCAUCUUCUGGAGCAACACUUCUAGAGCUGUUUAUUCAGAUGAGCAGAACUGCAUCUCUUAUCCCUGCAACUACAAGCUGGGAUAUCUCUAAUCACAGGUUCUUUGCAAGCAUUACUGAAAGAUCUAGCCACAGCAGAGAUGAUCAGUGCUGCUGCUGCGAUACAGUGAAAUCACAGAGUAAUGGAGGAACAAUGAACCAAUCAGUAAUCGCACAACCAACAGCAACCUCUAGGGAAGCCUCCAGAUGAGGUGGUCACAACUGAAAACCCUCUCAGAAUGUGUGGGGUUAUGGAAGGGCCAGUGUACUUUGUCCUCAAUGCCAUUUCCUCCAGAUGAUCAAAGUGCAGUGUGGGCACACACAGGAUAUUUUGGUUUACUGUCACUGAAUUAUGCCAACUGUUGGAGCAAGACCUGUAACAAGGAGGAAUGAUUGGCACCCUAUCAUAGUGGCCAUUAGGGUGACAGCUGCGCUGACUUUUAUGUAACUGGCUUCUUCCGAGGAGCUGCAGGGGACCUGUGUGGGCUCUUCCUGUUGUCCACUCACAAACGUAUCAAGGCUGUUACCAAUACCAUUUAUGUCUGAUCACACCACUUCAUCUUGUUUCCCCAUGAUGUUUCAGUGCCACAGCCCAGGCUAUAGGCUUUUCCAGCAUUUCUGAUCUUUCCCAGGUACGGGGUGCAAUAGACUGUACACACAUUGCUUUGAGAGCGCCAUGUCAUAAGAAGGCUGACUUCAUCAAUAGAAAAAGGUUCCAUUCUAGCAAUAAAUGUGGAUGUGUAUGCUGGUGGGAGCAUACACAUCCAGAAGAUCAUCAGACGUCAUUUCUGCCAUCUCCAGUGAGAUGCUACCACCAGACACAUAUUCCCCUCC